GAAGGAUCUGUGAACUGUCCAAGCAG
rnacentral:piRNA from 1 species